AUUACAGUUGGACAUUACUUUCAAAAAGCCCCCCAAAUUCAAUGAAGCACGGGUAAACAGCAGCAGUAACUAUGAAUCUCCUAAGGUAGCCAAAAGCCUUGUCAUGUAAUUAGUGACAUGCAUGAAUGGAU
rnacentral:ncRNA from 1 species